UACGUAGGGUGCAAGCGUUGUCCGGAAUUAUUGGGCGUAAAGAGCUCGUAGGCGGUCUGUCGCGUCGGCUGUGAAAACCCGGAGCUCAACUCCGGGCCUGCAGUCGAUACGGGCAGACUGGAGUUCGGCAGGGGAGACUGGAAUUCCUGGUGUAGCGGUGAAAUGCGCAGAUAUCAGGAGGAACACCCGUGGCUAAGGCGGCUCUCUAGUACGGUACUGACGCUGAGACGCGAAAGCGUGGGGAGCGAACAGG
rnacentral:rRNA from 1 species